ensembl:lncRNA
GUUUUACAGGGGCCUCUGAGGCCCUGCACUUUUACUGUGAAUAUUCCAUCUGAGGAAAAGUUUGAAUAAAAAACAAAUUUUCAUAGAUGUGAGGAAAUUGCAGUGUCAAAAUUAGUUGGUCAAAUAAUGGAAUUAUUUACACAAUAUCUAAGUUUGGUAGGUUUGCUUAGUGAUUUUUUUUUCUUUUUUACUUUCAAGUACCUAAAAAUAAGUGUCCAUAUUUUAAAAGGAAAGCCAUUUUAUUCAAAAACAAAAGGUGUUCCCUAACACGCCAUCACAGUGCAGAACUACGUGAAAAAGCCUCAAGCCAUCUUUAGCCCAGUACAGAAUAGGGAACACGGAGGUUUAAAAUAAAUGCCCUUUCCUCCCUGUUAGAUAGUACAAGUUAUUCAAUCAUGCAUUAAGGCCUUCUCAAACAACCUUUACAGGUCAUGCAAAAAUAUAUAUAUAUAUUUUGUUCGAAGUGAACUGUUAUUAAUGCCUCAAACUUUACUGAGGUAUCUGGCGUCGUAGGUACAAAUAUUCGUGGUUUACCGAUUUUAAACGUUCAGUCAAAUACGGACAGUGCUUUCGGGGCCAAUAUUUAAAGAAUAAGGCUAAUUCUUUUCGAGAGUCCCUCUAUCCCGCUUUUACAUGAAAAUAAGAAAUGCAUCAGGAUACUCGACGACGGGAACAGGAGUCAGAAAAACCAAGUGCACAGGGAAAGACAAGUAUUAGUGUACACGUCAAGUUGGAAUCAGCAGACAGUGUAGGGGAGAGAAACGUUCCACAGCUUGGGGAGCAGCUAGACCGGACUCCUUCCAGCGUUUCGCGACCAAAGUUUGCAGCUAGGUGAGCUGAAGCGGCUUUUGCCACGGCCGCGCGUCCGGGAGAGCUCGGGUUCACAGGUUCUGGGCGCGGCGGGAGCAGAAGUACAAGCACAGCCUGGAUCGGCUGCCGCGGCCCGUUCAUGCGCCUCACGGCAGGCUGGCCUCAGGCUGUCUAGGGGAUCCCAGAGGCUGUCAUUUUCCCUUUCUCCUGGCAGCUUCCGUCACCCUACACGAAGGGAGUGCUCAAAUUAAUUUUCUUUCCUGUUUUGAUUGAGAUUCGAAUAUCCUCUGUCCCGACCUUUCCAAGUCGCCCUCUCUGCCCUUCUGGCCAACGUUCCUGCCAGGAAAAGCCUUUAGUUGCGGCACCGUGAGUGUAGUCCUUCUAACGCGCUCCGGGGGUGUGCUGGCCGGUGCUCCGCCUCGGAGCCCGGAAGAACUCUUUCCCAUCAGGGCAUUCUGGUCCCCCCAUUUAGCAAAGAGAACUGUGGAAUGUGCGCCCGCAGCUGAGCCGCCUCCGGCAUCCCCCAACCGCCCGCUGCGGUGCCCGAGGCUCUCGGAUCUGCGCUCGCACGCCCCGCCUGCCUCCGGUGCCGCCCCUAUUCGGGCGACCGCCGGGACUCGGCCUCUGGCUGCCCAGACCAGCCGCCGGCCCGCAGUGCUCUUGAGAGCCGCGUCCGCUCGGGCCUCGGGAGCGCCGCCACUUCCCUCCCGGGCCAGACCCUGCUGGGCAUGCUCAGUGCGCCUCCUGGAACCCGGCUCUCGCGCAGCCAGGAUCGUGUCUCCGGGUUUUCGCGGCUGCCGAGGGGGCACUGGGGAAGGGAGGCUGGGAGACAGUCAGCGCCCUGUUCCUCUCCCGGCUGCGGCCGCCCGCACCGCAAGAUUCGGGCCAAUC